rnacentral:lncRNA from 1 species
UAUAUUAGCUCAUAUUGAUAGUAGAAGCGUGAAGAUCGCAUGGUGCCAAUGUGGAGUAUAAGGACACAGAUCUGGCCUGGGAAAACUGCAGAAUCUUUUCACUCCAGAACCACUAAAUACCAGGGGCUCCGCACACCCUGAUUGAACUGACUCCGCUGAUUCCCGCUGAUCAGUCUUUCUCGGAAAGCCCCUCAGAUUGCUCGUUUGUCUCGGCUCCCUGGACCUGGUCGAGGCUUCAAUCCCGUCCGCCAGGCUUGUUGUCGCUGGCCAAAGUGCUCCUUCUUAUAAUUCACGUUACUGCUCUGCCACCCCAACCAGACUUUCUUGCAAAACUUGGUAUUUCAAUUAGUCUGCAGAUAUUUCUUGAAUACCAAAUAUGUGGAAGUAGCUUUCUUAGUGUGAGAAAAGCAAGAUUUGACUCCCAAGACUCAUCAUCUACGUGGAAAGAUAAAA